CGUCCAGUAGCACCUUAGAGACCAACUAAGUUUGUUCUGGGUAUAAGCUUUCAUGUGCAUGCACACUUCUUCAGCUUAUAUCCAGAACAACCGUAGUUGGUCUCUAAGGUGCUACUGGACG